CGUAGGUGCGAGCGUUGUCCGGAAUUACUGGGCGUAAAGAGCUCGUAGGCGGUUUGUCGCGUCGUCUGUGAAAUCCUCCAGCUUAACUGGGGGCGUGCAGGCGAUACGGGCAGACUUGAGUACUACAGGGGAGACUGGAAUUCCUGGUGUAGCGGUGAAAUGCGCAGAUAUCAGGAGGAACACCGGUGGCGAAGGCGGGUCUCUGGGUAGUAACUGACGCUGAGGAGCGAAAGCAUGGGUAGCAAACAGGAUU
rnacentral:rRNA from 1 species